GGCUUUCCAUCGCCAACUGCAAUCUUGUCCUGUAGCAAAUAUUUAAUUGCCUUGAUCUUUGCCACCGAUAGCGAAAUCCUGGAUUUCUCCCUCCCCCCUUUGGUGCAGUCGGACUGAUAGAUACCAGCUGGGUGGAAGCCAUCUUGUGGGCUGGGUGGAGUACCAGGGGAGAAAACACAUUUCUUUAAAAGCCUGGUAUUCUCGCCUGGGAAACUUUUCUCUCUCCCCCCCCCCCCCCCCGCUCCCCAAUAUAAGAGACCGUGGGCAAUCAGCCACCUGCCAGACCCCGGGAUAUGAUGCUGAUCUUUACCUGCUGCUUUGGAGCUAAUCAGCUUUUAUGAAAGAAUUCCUAGCAGAAACCUAAUCGCUUGCCCCAGUGGUCAACACAGAUGAGAAAGCCAGCCCCGGUUUUAAUACUGCCCUUUGUAGUUUAUCUAUAGGUAGGACGGAGUACGUGUAGCUUGUGUAUAUAUUUAAAUACGUGGCUACACUUAUUUUCACACUCACUUUAGAACACAAUCGUGGUUGGUUUCAUGUGGAAAAGAACCCCUUCCCCUAGCUGUUUUCUAAACUGGGGUUUAUUUAUUGCGCUCAAACCAGUGGGACGGUAGCAAUGUGCCAGCCUGGCUCUUCAGAAACUUUUUCUUUUGGAUAGUUUUUAGAACGAUCUAUUCCUUUUUGUUUUAAGCGAUUCAUAGUCCUAGGAAGCCUUUGAAAUCUACCAACUAGUAACACCUCCUUCAUGUAGAAACGUUACAGUAUAUAAAAGGCUUAAGUGAAGCACUCGGCUGCUGCUUUUUUUAAAAAAAAAAAAGAUAAAGCUUUCAUCUAGAAGAUCAAAGGCUCCCCCCCCUUGUUUUUUUUGCUUGUAAGGUUGAGAAUUUGAACCCAAGCGCUAGUUACAAUGAUUUUAGUUCUUAUAGAAUUUUCUCCCCCAAUGUGGUCCUGGUGAUUUGCUCAGAAAUAUAUGGCCUUGGGUUUAUUUGUCUUUGUUUCUUUCUGAACGUUAAGUCUAAUUAAAAAAACAAAAACGGA